UGUCCUUGGACUACUGCAAAGGAGGUGGUUGUGGAUGAGCAGUGGAACUCAGUCAUUUCUCAUAGACUUGGACUUUCCCAAACAGUUGGGUCUUAGAAAAGCCUUGCUGGACACCCAAUUGGCCCCCUGCGCACUACUAUAUAUACUUCUGGACCCUUCAGGACUCAAGUCUCAGAUUGUGCCUGAUAUCAGGCCAUCCUCAAUUACAAGUGGAUGACCUUGAGUGUACUGUCGUCUUGUUAUUGGUGACCUGGGGAACAGAGUCCCUGCACACUGCCCUUCUCAGGCAAUCCAGUCUAGAGGUCAAGCAGAGCUGUACAUUCCCUUCUCAAGGAUCUGCUGAGGUACCUUUAUCUGAACAGAUGCAAGAAGUUCACCUGAUGGAUCAUUAAAGAUGAAAGGAUACAAUGUUAUACUUCUGAAUGGGAUCAAACAAGAGUAAAACACCAUUUAGGUCCCAUUGGGGCAUUUCAAAAGGACAAUAAAACCAGUGGCUGAGCUCACAAGUAGCUAUUGGUUCAAUUCUGAGUAGCACAUUCAUCAGGGUUCCUGGCAAAUGCCUGUAAUCCCAGACCUCUUGGGAGACAGAAUGAACAGAAGUUCAAUGUUAUAUCCUCAGCUACAUAGAGAGUUUGAAGCCUUCCUGUCACAGGAAACUCUGUCUCUAGAUAAAUGUACUCAUGUAAGUAUGUAAAAUAAAGGAGGAGGACUAGGUCAUACUGGUACGAGUACCUUUAUCUGACAUGUCCAAGCAUGGCUCAGCGACACAGUCCUACCUGACAGGUAUGAGAUACAUUGUCAGAGCAGUUUUCUUGCUUGCACCCUAUCUAUUCCUCCUCUAUUUCUCAUCAAAACAGUAUAGGCCUGCCAUGAAUAUCAAGCAAAUGUGGUGUAUCAAGCUGCAUUGAAACUAGGCAUCUGCUCUCCUAGUAAAGCUGGACAAGGCAACCAGGUAGAAGCAAAGGGUCCCAAAAGCAGGGCACAGAGUCAGGGACAGCCCCUGAUCCCGCUGUUAUGAGUCCCACAAGAAUACCAUGACAAACAAAUAUAAUAUAUAUGAACAGUCCUAUGCAGGCUCUCCCUGAU